AACGACUCUCGGCAACGGAUAUCUCGGCUCUCGCAUCGAUGAAGAACGUAGCGAAAUGCGAUACUUGGUGUGAAUUGCAGAAUCCCGUGAACCAUCGAGUCUUUGAACGCAAGUUGCGCCCGAAGCCUUUGGCUGAGGGCACGUCUGCAUGGGCGUCACGCAUCGCGUCUCCCCACCCGCC
rnacentral:rRNA from 1 species